rnacentral:rRNA from 1 species
AAAAAAGGUAAGCUACUAAGAGCGAAUGGUGGAUGCCUUGACUGGUAAAGGCGAUGAAGGACGUACUAGACUGCGAUAAGCUACGGGGAGCUGUCAAGAAGCUUUGAUCCGUAGAUUUCCGAAUGGGGCAACCCAAUGUAUAGAGAUAUACAUUACCUAUAUAGGAGCGAACGAGGGGAAUUGAAACAUCUUAGUACCCUCAGGAAAAGAAAUCAAUAGAGAUUGCGUCAGUAGCGGCGAGCGAAAGCGCAAGAGGGCAAACCCAGUGCUUGCACUGGGGGUUGUAGGACUGCAAUGUGCAAGAGGUGAGUUUAGCAGAACAUUCUGGAAAGUAUAGCCAUAGAGGGUGAUAGUCCCGUAUGCGAAAAACAAACCUUAGCUAGCAGUAUCCUGAGUAGGGCGGGACACGAGAAAUCCUGUCUGAAGCUGGGUCGACCACGAUCCAACCCUAAAUACUAAUACCAGAUCGAUAGUGCACAAGUACCGUGAGGGAAAGGUGAAAAGAACUGAGGUGAUCAGAGUGAAAUAGAACCUGAAACCAUUUGCUUACAAUCAUUCAGAGCCCUAUGUAGCAAUACAGGGUGAUGGACUGCCUUUUGCAUAAUGAGCCUGCGAGUUGUGGUGUCUGGCAAGGUUAAGCAAACGUGAAGCCGUAGCGAAAGCGAGUCUGAAUAGGGCGCUUAGUCAGAUGCUGCAGACCCGAAACGAAGUGAUCUAUCCAUGAGCAAGUUGAAGCUAGUGUAAGAACUAGUGGAGGACUGAACCCAUAGGCGUUGAAAAGCCCCGGGAUGACUUGUGGAUAGGGGUGAAAGGCCAAUCAAACUUCGUGAUAGCUGGUUCUCUCCGAAAUAUAUUUAGGUAUAGCGUUGUGUCGUAAUAUAAGGGGGUAGAGCACUGAAUGGGCUAGGGCAUACACCAAUGUACCAAACCCUAUCAAACUCCGAAUACCUUAUAUGUAAUCACAGCAGUCAGGCGGCGAGUGAUAAAAUCCGUCGUCAAGAGGGAAACAACCCAGACUACCAGCUAAGGUCCCUAAAUCUUACUUAAGUGGAAAACGAUGUGAAGUUACUUAAACAACCAGGAGGUUGGCUUAGAAGCAGCCAUCCUUUAAAGAAAGCGUAAUAGCUCACUGGUCUAGUGAUUUUGCGCGGAAAAUAUAACGGGGCUAAAGU